GACGAACGCUGGCGGCGUGCUUAACACAUGCAAGUCGAACGGACAGGCGCGGCUUUUGUUGCUUUCUCGAGUGCCGCACGGGUGAGUAACACGUGUGUAUACCGCCCUUGUAUUUGUGAUAUAUUCUCGAAAAUGGGGCUCUUACAGCAUAGAAGCUCCUGCUGCAUGGUGUUGGUUGGUAAGUUUCGGCGUUUCUGGAUGGACUCGCUGGUUCUCCGCUUGUUGGUGGGGUAGUGGCUUUCCAAGGCUUUGACGGCUAGCCGGCCUGAGAGGGUGACCGGCCACAUGGGGACUGAGAUACGGCCCAGACGCCUACGGGAGGCAGCAGGGGGGAGUAUGGCACAAUGGGCGGAAGCCUGAUGCAGCAACCCCGCGUGCGGGAUGACGGCCUUCGGGUUGAAAACCGCUUUCGCCUGUGCCAAAGCGGUAGUGACGGUAAUGGGUAAAAAAGCACCGGCUAACUACGUG
rnacentral:rRNA from 1 species